rnacentral:rRNA from 1 species
AUUGAACGCUGGCGGCAUGCCUUACACAUGCAAGUCGAACGGUAACAGGUCUUCGGAUGCUGACGAGUGGCGAACGGGUGAGUAAUACAUCGGAACGUGCCCGAUCGUGGGGGAUAACGCAGCGAAAGCUGUGCUAAUACCGCAUACGAUCUACGGAUGAAAGCGGGGGAUCGCAAGACCUCGCGCAAUUGGAGCGGCCGAUGGCAGAUUAGGUAGUUGGUGAGGUAAAGGCUCACCAAGCCGACGAUCCGUAGCUGGUCUGAGAGGACGACCAGCCACACUGGGACUGAGACACGGCCCAGACUCCUACGGGAGGCAGCAGUGGGGAAUUUUGGACAAUGGGCGCAAGCCUGAUCCAGCCAUUCCGCGUGCAGGAUGAAGGCCCUCGGGUUGUAAACUGCCUUUGUACGGAACGAAACGGCUCUCUCUAAUACAGGGGGCUAAUGACGGUACCGUAAGAAUAAGCACCGGCUAACUACGUGCCAGCCGCCGCCGUAAGAC